UUUUGGUUUUUUUUUUUUGUAGUUUAUUUGUAAACCAUUUUUAAGCCACUUGGACUUCUAAGCUUUAAUGGACUAGUAAGCCUUCUUGGGCUUCCCAAAGUUUCUUGUUUACUGGAGCAUCUUCCUAACUUUCUGUAGAGCUAGGACAUUUAUCUACUGGACUUUUAGAAAAAAUAAAAGAAGUAGAACUAAUUGAAUUGCACUACUGUUUUACAGACUGGAAAAGUCUCUCUGCAAGUGAAACUGAAAGACUUGUAUUUGUCUGAGAAGAUGAAUCUUUUCACUUUUAGAUCUUUUGGGGUUUUUAAGUAGAACUUAGGAUUUCUAAUUGACUUGACUUCUGGAAAUGGAAAUACCAUGCUUUUGUUAUGGGAAGCUUUGUUAGAUGCCUUUAUUGUUAGAAUGGUUCAAGUCCUGCUGUAAAGAUCAUGUUUUUCCCAGGACUUUCACUGUGAUUUUGCUUCACUGCAGGCUGUAUGACAAAAAAAAAAGGUAAUUUAACAAGAGAAGAGGCUCUUGAUUCCUUAUGCAAGCAAUGGAUAUGAAUCUUGACUGAGGACUGAAAAUAUUCACCUUCUUCAAAUGAGGAGGGGGAUAGUAGCUUUUGUUUACAGACUGCUAGACAAUGGACAUUUGGCUUGUGAAAGUUUGUAUUGUGGCAAAGAUAAUAAAUUGGAAACAUUAUUGUGCUUGGGAAUGUUCCAAUUUUAGCUGAUGCUUGUUUCAGAGGUCCUGCUAAUUGAAAGCUGUUGCAGGCUACAUUGCUUAUGCUUACUGCUGUGUGUAAAUUGUUAUUUUUUUUUUUUUUUGAUUAGCUAUUAAUGUCUUAAUGUCCUCCUUUUGUAAGAUUUCAUACACUUUAUUUUUGUAUAGUUUGAAGAUUCAGCUGUUCAAACAUGUCUGAAGUAAAUGGUAUAAUUUUAUAAUGCAUACUGUUAUACUAACUCAUAAUUUUAGAUAUAGAGAUAGAUAUAAAGGUGAGACUUGACACACUUCAGAUAAAAGCAAUUUUUAUGUUAAGCUUUUAUAGGGAGAGAAGAAAUUGCUGGGAGGUAACAAGGAAGCCUUCUUAGGGCAGCAGUAGCUAGUUGUUCAGAAUAAUUUUUAUUUUUUUUAGCAGUUGGAGACAACAAAUGUACUGCUUGAGCAACAGUGCCUUUCUUCAGUUUGUUUGAAAAUAUGAAUACUGAGCACGAAUUUCUUUUUAGGUACAUUCCAAAGAAAUACUUCUUGCUCUAGUGAACACAAGCAAUUUACCCAGUGAUGACUAAAUGGUUUCUUAGCUCUUCCACAGUAACAGGUGCCACAGCCAGGAACCUGUGAUUAGGGGCUCACUUCUUGCCAAUAUGUACAUGCUGUACUGUAUGAAAGAAUAAAUUCACUGACUGCCUGA
rnacentral:lncRNA from 1 species